GCACCUGUCGAAGAUACUCCAGUCAAACCAGAAGUGGUCUACGGCACACCGGUUUUCCAACAAGAAGCAAUUGUUAAAACAGAAGCUCUACCAGCCAUUGUCGAAACUCCCGCACCAAUUUAUGGUCCACCAAUAAUUCCUGUUGCCCCAAAACUUGCUGUAAAAGAUGCUCCAUACCCAUCAGCAUUACCGUUCGCAAGUCACUACGGUGAUCCAGUCAUUAAAUUGGUCAAUCUCUUCAAGUAAUUUCUCAGUUGAGAAUAAUAUGGCUAAAAUGGAAUCGAAUUACGAUCACAUUUACCAAUCACUAUUAAAUCAAUUUAAAUUUUGAAACAUUGUCGGAACAUAUUGUGUAUUAGUUAACAAGAAAAGGAAAACAAUUCUAUUCUUUUAAUCUGUGUAAUGGGUUGUUAUAUUAUAAAUUUAUAAAAAAAAAAAAUGCCAAACUGAAAAA